rnacentral:rRNA from 1 species
AACGAACGCUGGCGGCAGGCCUAACACAUGCAAGUCGAACGCUGUAGCAAUACAGAGUGGCAGACGGGUGAGUAACACGUGGGAAUCUUCCUAUCGGUACGGAAUAGCUCAGGGAAACUUGGGGUAAUACCGCAUACGCCCUUCGGGGGAAAGAUUUAUCGCCGAUAGAUGAGCCCGCGUCUGAUUAGCUAGUUGGUGAGGUAAUGGCUCACCAAGGCGACGAUCAGUAGCUGGUCUGAGAGGAUGACCAGCCACACUGGGACUGAGACACGGCACAGACUCCUACGGGAGGCAGCAGUGGGGAAUAUUGGACAAUGGGCGCAAGCCUGAUCCAGCCAUGCCGCGUGAGUGACGAAGGUCUUCGGAUUGUAAAGCUCUUUUGGCGGGGACGAUAAUGACGGUACCCGCAGAAUAAGCCCCGGCUAACUUCGUGCCAGCCGCCGCAGUAAAAC